rnacentral:rRNA from 1 species
UACGGAGGGUGCAAGCGUUAAUCGGAAUUACUGGGCGUAAAGCGCACGCAGGUGGCUGAGUCAGUCGAUUGUGAAAGCCCUGGGCUUAACCUGGGAAUUGCAGUCGAUACUACUCAGCUAGAGUAUGGGAGAGGGAUGCGGAAUUCCAGGUGUAGCGGUGAAAUGCGUAGAUAUCUGGAGGAACACCGGUGGCGAAGGCGGCAUCCUGGACCGAUACUGACGCUGAGGAGCGAAAGCCAGGGGAGCAAACGGG